AAGAAGACCUGGAGCCACUGCUGCGUUGUCCCAAGUCUGCAAAACGAUGUGAUCCAACCACACCAUGUUAUUUCUGAAUCCCAGAACCACAGAGGAGCCAGGUUUUGAGGUGCAGCAUCUGUGGAUUGGGAUGGAGGAUGCAUCCUAUGUCCUGUGAAAGGAGCCACGGAAUUAGAUGGAGAGAGAUUGGUUGGCAUACCGUCAUGUGGAGUAGUUUAGCCAGCAGAACAUCAUGUCAAGUCAAAAAUACGGGGAUAUCAUCUGAUAUUGAGACUGGCUGAGGUUCAAGGAUUGCGUACACUGGAAUGGGGAAAACGAUCCCUUGCUGAGCAUACUGAUCAUUUCCAUAUCUGCCAUCUGAUCUGUUCUUUUUAUUCCUGAGCAAAAACUGUUGCAAUAGCACUAUAGUUACACAUUUAUCACUCCAAAAUCAGGAAA